UGACCGCUGGCGGCGUGCCUACUACAUGCACGUCGAGCGAACGGACGCGAAGCUUGCUUCUCUGAUGUUAGCGGCGGACGGGUGAGUAACACGUGGAUAACCUACCUAUAAGACUGGGAUAACUUCGGGAAACCGGAGCUAAUACCGGAUGAUAUUUUGAACCGCAUGGUUCAAAAGUGAAAGACGGUCUUGCUGUCACUUAUAGAUGGAUCCGCGCUGCAUUAGCUAGUUGGUAAGGUAACGGCUUACCAAGGCAACGAUGCAUAGCCGACCUGAGAGGGUGAUCGGCCACACUGGAACUGAGACACGGUCCAGACUCCUACGGGAGGCAGCAGUAGGGAAUCUUCCGCAAUGGGCGAAAGCCUGACGGAGCAACGCCGCGUGAGUGAUGAAGGUCUUCGGAUCGUAAAACUCUGUUAUUAGGGAAGAACAUAUGUGUAAGUAACUGUGCACAUCUUGACGGUACCUAAUCAGAAAGCCACGGCUAACUACGUG
rnacentral:rRNA from 1 species